rnacentral:rRNA from 1 species
UUUACAUAGUGAAACCGCGAAUGGCUCAUUAAAUCAGUUAUGGUUCCUUGGAUCGUUCAAUCCUACUUGGAUAACUGUGGCAAUUCUAGAGCUAAUACAUGAAGAACCGCUCCGAACUUUGGGGAAAGACGCUUUUAUUAAAUCAAGACCAAUACGGGCCUCCGUCCCGUUCCGUGGGGAACUUGGGAUAACUUGUUGUUGAUCGCACGACUUCACUCCGGCGACUUACCUUUCAAAUGUCUGCCCUUUCAACUGUCGAUGGUACGUGCUAGGCCUACCAUGGUUUUUACGGGUAACGGAGAAUCAGGGUUCGAUUCCGGAGAGGGAGCUUGAGAAACGGCUACCACAUCCAAGGAAGGCAGCAGGCGCGCAAAUUACCCACUCCUGGCACGGGGAGGUAGUGACGAAAAAUAACAAUACGGGACUCUUUCGAGGCCCCGUAAUUGGAAUGAGUACACUUUAAUCCUUAACGAGGAUCUAUUGGAGGGCAAGUCUGGUGCCAGCAGCCGCGGUAAUUCCAGCUCCAAUAGCGUAUAUUAAAGUUGUUGCAGUUAAAAAGCUCGUAGUUGGAUCUCAGGUCCCGGCUCGCGGUUCGCCUCGCGGCGUCUACUGCCCGUCCGGACCCACCCGCCGGUUUUCCCUUGGUGCUCUUCAUUGAGUGUCUCGGGUGGCCGGAACGUUUACUUUGAAAAAAUUAGAGUGUUCAAAGCAGGCGCUUCGCCUGAAUAAUGGUGCAUGGAAUAAUGGAAUAAGGACCUCGGUUCUAUUUUGUUGGUUUUCGGAACUCGAGGUAAUGAUUAAGAGGGACAGACGGGGGCAUUCGUAUUGCGGUGUUAGAGGUGAAAUUCUUGGAUCGCCGCAAGACGAANUACUGCGAAAGCAUUUGCCAAGAAUGUUUUCAUUAAUCAAGAACGAAAGUCAGAGGUUCGAAGACGAUCAGAUACCGUCCUAGUUCUGACCAUUAACGGAGGCGACUGGAGGAUCGUUGGAGUUUUUUUAAUGAGCCCGACGGAAAUCCCCGGGAAAAUCCUUAAGUCUUUGGUUUCGGGGGAAGGUAUGGUUCCAAAGCUAAAACUUAAAGGAAUUGACGGAAGGGCACCACCAGGAGUGGAGCCUGCGGCUUAAUUUGACUCAACACGGGAAAGCUCACCCGGCCCGGACACCGUAAGGAUUGACAGAUUGAUAGCUCUUUCUUGAUUCGGUGGGUGGUGGUGCAUGGCCGUUCUUAGUUGGUGGAGCGAUUUGUCUGGUUAAUUCCGAUAACGAACGAGACUCUAGCCUGCUAAAUAGUUCACUGAUUGAUCUCUGUCAGUGCCAACUUCUUAGAGGGACAAGUGGCGUUUAGCCAGCGGAGAUUGAGCAAUAACAGGUCUGUGAUGCCCU